rnacentral:hammerhead_ribozyme from 1 species
AUCCAACUGACGAGUUCCAAAUAGCACGAAACGUGCUUCCUGAAU